UUUGUAGGUCUCUUUCACUGCCUUCCCCCCCCCCUUUUUUUUUCCAUUUUAUUCAUUUAUCUCAGAGAGAGAGCAUAAUUGAGGGGGAGAGACAGAGGGAGAAGCAGACUCUCUGCUGAGCAGGGAGCCUGAUGUGGGGCUCUAUCCCAGGACCCUGAGACCAUGACCUGAGCUGAAAGCAGAUGCUUCAUCAACUGAGCCAGCCACCCAGACACCCCUCAUUGCCCCUUUUCUUUUUUUUUUUUUAAGAUUUUAUUUAUUCAUGAGACGCAGAGAGAGAGAGAGAGAGAGAGAGAGAGGCAGAGACACAGGCUCCCUCCAUGCAGGGAGCCUGACGUGGGACUCGAUUCUGGGUCUCCAGGAUCACACCCUCAGCUGAAGGCAGCAGGGCCACCGGGGCUGCCCUGCCCCUUUUAACACAUCAAUUCCUUAUGUCAUUUCAAAAGAAAAAGGCAUAAAGCGUGUAACAGAAACCUGUAUGAAUUAAUUGUAUUGUUUCCUUCUAUUUUUAGAGAGUAAAGAUAUUUUUCUCUUAAGGUAAAACAUCAGCCAUGAGGGAAAGACAGCCGCCAACUUAUUAAAGUGUGAUUAUUAAAGUGUGAUUACUACACCCUCUGUUCCAGGAGUAUAUGCUGUAAGUUAUCUGGUACCUGCACUGCCAUUCCUUCCUUGCCCUCAAGAAGGGUCCCAUCUCAGCCAGGCCAUCUAUCUGUGAUGACAUACCUAGAGCUUUCAGAGUUGUACCAAGCAGAUCUUGAGGUUGAUGGCUCUGCCACCUGUUCUCCUCCACGCCUUCCCACUGCCCUUCGAGGGCUUGAGGAGAAAGAGCAUUAGUAAUGCUCCAGAAAAGAGUUAACAGUGAAGCUGUGAAGUGAGCAUGCAAAAAUUAUCCCUACCUCCAGGACAAAGGAUUCCUAUUUCAACAGGUAAAUCAAAACCUUUUUUGGAGUUAGAAAGUAUGAGACCAGCAAGCUUAUCACUAAUGAGGAUGUAAUUAAACAAAGG
rnacentral:lncRNA from 1 species